AGAACGAACGCUGGCGGCAUGCCUAACACAUGCAAGUCGAACGCUUUUGGGGCUUCGGUCCCAAAGGAGUGGCGCACGGGUGAGUAGCGCGUGGGAACCUGCCCUGUUGUGGGGGAUAACCGAGGGAAACUUCGGCUAAUACCGCAUACGCCCGGGGGAAACUCCGGGGAAAGAUUUAUCGCAGCAGGAGGGGCCCGCGUCGGAUUAGGUAGUUGGUGGGGUAACGGCCCACCAAGCCUGUGAUCCGUAGCUGGUCUGAGAGGAUGAUCAGCCACACUGGGACUGAGACACGGCCCAGACUCCUACGGGAGGCAGCAGUGGGGAAUAUUGGACAAUGGGGGGCAACCCUGAUCCAGCAAUGCCGCGUGAGUGAUGAAGGCCUUAGGGUUGUAAAGCUCUUUCGCCCGCGACGAUGAUGACGGUAGCGGGAGAAGAGCCCGGCUAACUUCGUGCCAGCAGCCGC
rnacentral:rRNA from 1 species